rnacentral:rRNA from 1 species
UACGUAGGGUGCGAGCGUUGUCCGGAAUUAUUGGGCGUAAAGAGCUCGUAGGCGGUGUGUCACGUCGGCCGUGAAAACCUGCAGCUUAACUGUGGGCGUGCGGUCGAUACGGGCAUCACUGGAGUUCGGCAGGGGAGACUGGAAUUCCUGGUGUAGCGGUGAAAUGCGCAGAUAUCAGGAGGAACACCGGUGGCGAAGGCGGGUCUCUGGCCCGUAACUGACGCUGAGGAACGAAAGCGUGGGUAGCGAACAGG